rnacentral:rRNA from 1 species
UACGAAGGGUGCAAACGUUGCUCGGAAUUAUUGGGCGUAAAGCGCACGUAGGCGGCAUUGCAAGUCGGAUGUGAAAUCCCUCGGCUUAACCAAGGAAGUGCAUCCGAAACUGCAGUGCUUGAGUACUUAAGAGGAUCGCGGAAUUCCCGGUGUAGAGGUGAAAUUCGUAGAUAUCGGGAGGAACACCAGUGGCGAAGGCGGCAUCCUGGACCGGUAUUGACGCUGAGGCGCGAAAGCCAGGGGAGCAAACGGG